rnacentral:lncRNA from 1 species
UUCAGUCCUUCAUUUCGGGUUUUAUAACCCCUUUUUACAUCCUUUUUCUAUUAUUCUAUCCUGUUUUUUUUGUCUUGAUCUUGCAGGGCAUGGAGGUGCUGGUAGUGGAGGAGGAGCAUGCAGCGGUAGAUGGUGUCAGACGCGUGGACACGCGAAGCCAGCGAUUGGCGAGUAGCGGCGGUGGGCGUGCGCAGGAGGUGGCAGCAACAACAUGCGGCUGAGGUUUCUUUUUGUGUUUGAAAGUUGGUGUAGUUUUGGGCCAUUCGGGCCUCUAGGGUUUUUAUUAAUAUUGGGCAUUUGGGCUUGUAGUUUUUGGGUUUAAAUUGGCUGAAAAUGGGUUGCUUUUGUUUUUAUUAUUUGGGUCUAUUUUGCUGGUAUGGGCCCGGGUAUUUUAUUUUCUGAUUUAGGCCAUAUUGGCCUGCUUUAAUGGACUGUGGCAUUUUAUUUAUUUUGUUUUAUUUUUGGCACUUGGCCCGGCAAAUUUGGGCUUCUACAGUUGCCCCUCUUUGCUCGUUUUCGUGUAACGAGAACAGAGCAAAGACCAAGAAAGACCAAAUUUGCCUGGUCUCGCCGAGGCUUGACUUUUUGGUGCUCAUCUUCUUCAAGUAGCCUUAUUCUGUUCUGCUGUGUCUCGUUGCUUCAAUCCACUUCACUGCGCUCCGGAGAAACAUGACUUAAAUCUAUUCUGCUGCAACUCCAUGGGGAUGAGAUUUGUUGUUUUCUUCGUCUGCUCCACUACUGCUUAGGGAGAUAAGACUGAAUAUGAUCUGCUCCGCUACCACUUAGGGAGAUAAGACUGUAAUCUCCGAUCUAUUCCACUGUCAAAUGCAGGGAGAUAGAGUUAUCAGCUUCAAUCUACUCCACUGUAGUCACAGGGAGGUAAAAUCUGCCAUCUUUGAUCUUCAAUCUAUUCCACUGCCAAAUACAGGGAGAUAGAGUUAUCGGCUUCAAUGUACUCCACUGUAGUCAAGGAGGUAAAAUCUGUCAUCUUCGAUCUGCUUCGCUGUCAACUACAGGAAGGCAAGAUCUACAAUCUUCGAUCUACUUCACGCCAAUACAUGAAGACAAGAUCUGCUUUCUGCGAUCUACUUCGCCACCAAUAUGGGAAGACAAGAUCUGCAUCUUCGAUCCACUUCCUACCAAUAUAGGAAGAUAGGAUCUGCUACCUUCGAUCUACUUCACGCCAAUACAUGAAGACAAGAUCUGCUUUCUGCGAUCUACUUCGCCACCAAUAUGGGAAGACAAGAUCUGCAUCUUCGAUCCACUUCCUACCAAUAUAGGAAGAUAGGAUCUGUUAUCUUUGAUCUACUUCACGCCAAUACAUGAAGACAAGAUCUACUUUCUGCGAUCUAUUUUGCCACCAAUAUGGGAAGACAAGAUCUGCAUCGUCGAUCCACUCCCUACCAAUAUAGGAAGACAAGACCUACUAUCUUUGAUCUACUUCACGCCAAUACAUGAAGACAAGAUCUGCUUUCUGCGAUCUACUUCGCCACCAAUAUGGGAAGACAAGAUCUGCAUCGUCGAUCCACUUCCUACCAAUAUAGGAAGACAAGACCUACUAUCUUUGAUCUACUUCACGCCAAUACAUGAAGACAAGAUCUACUUUCUGUGAUCUACUUCGCCACCAAUAUGGGAAGACAAGAUCUGCAUCUUUGAUCUACUUCCUACCAAUAUAGGAAGAUAGGAUAUGUUCCUUUGACCUAUAAAAUCAAUUUUAUGGACCUAUUUACGUCUAGUGUUUAGGAUGACAUGAUCAGAGUGGAUCAAAUGCUCCUAACUAGAUGUGUAUGAAUGAUAUUUGUAGAAUGUCAUGAGAAUGAUCCAUUUUUGAUGCUUAGGUUGUCAUUCCUCAUUGUUCAUCAAGGUUCCAUCACUGAUGCCUUCUUGUUCAGCCAGUACCUUUGACAGAAAACCUAAAGAAAUAGACGCUAUUUAGACUAUCAUUUCUCAAAUGUUUCCAACCCUUAGGUUUGGUUAGUUCUAAACAAUAGUCCUGUUUCAAGUCCUCGUAUUAUUUAGAAACUUUCAGAGUAAUAUGCAGAACUCCUUCUGCAUGUGUAUUGUCAGUCCAUUAAUCGUUAUUUCAAUGAAAAAUGCUUGAGAAAGAUUAUCAAAAUGGACAAAAUGAAAUUUUGUUGAGAGCAAAUCUCUAAACAAACAAAUCAAGAUAGCAAAUUUUGCUGAGAUAUGAGAUGAAUAAGAUGAAAAAGAUUAUCACAAUGAAUAAGAUGGAACUUUAUUGAGAGCAGAGCUCUAAAUGAACAAAUAGCAAAUUUUGCUAAGAUGUAAAUAAGAUAAAAAAAAGGUGCCCCAGAUAUCGUAGCAUGAGCUUCUCUGCCCCAAACUUCUUAAGGACCCUUUUGAACUUGAUAUGUGUUUAGAAGUCCUAGAAGGCUUUGUUGAUGCCCCAAGAUGUAGCAUCUUUCCUUCUUGUUAAUUCGAAGAAGACAAAACUACUUUAUGCUUCAUCUUUGAUCGAAAAUUUGAAUUGCCCAUUCCUGGGUUUUCAAUUCAAAACCCCUUUGGUUUCAAGGUGCCCUUUGCGGGUUUUCGCCUUGGCCUCUCCUUUUUUUUUUUUUUAGGCAAAGUACCUCUUCACUGAAUCCGAAUUCACAGGAUUGGGCAAGCUUUUGCCAUCCAUCCCAGUUAGAAUUAAUGCCCCUCCUGAAAAGGCCUUUUUUACUACAUAAGGUCCCUCCCAGUUUGGCAUCCACUUUCCUCUGAAGUCUUUUUGCAUGGGAAGGAUCUUCUUCAGUACCAAGUCCCAUUCAUGGAAGUUUCUAGGACGAACUUUCUUAUUGUAAGCUCGCAUCAUUCGUUUCUGGUACAUUUGACCAUGACGGAUAGCUCUUAACCUCCUUUCUUCAAUCAAGUUCAGCUGAUCAUAUCGAGAUUGGACCCAUUCUGCUUCGUCUAACUUUAGUUCUGAAAAAACUCGGAGGGAGGGAAUUUCAACCUCAAUUGGUAGCACUGCCUCCAUUCCAUAAACCAAAGAGAAUGGUGUUGCCCCGGUAGAAGUCCUGACGGACGUUCGAUAAGCAUAGAGGGCGAAUGGCAACUUCUCGUGCCAAUCUCUAUAGGUCUCAGUCAUUUUCCCCACAAUCCUUUUGAUAUUUUUAUUGGCUGCCUCCACCGCACCAUUCAUUUUUGGACGGUAUGGCGAUGAGUUGUGGUGCUUGAUAUUGAAUUGACUACAAACCUCUGCUAUCGUGCUAUUAUUCAAAUUUAAUGCGUUGUCAGAUAUAAUCCUUUCGGGCAUUCCAUACCGACAUAUGAUUUCCUUCUUUAAAAACUUGCUGACAGCUGCCUUUGUGAAAUUGGCGUAAGAAGUAGCCUCUACCCACUUAGUAAAGUAGUCAAUCACUACAAAAAUGAAACGAUGUCCGUUUGAAGCCUUUGGCGAUAUCGGCCCAAUGACGUCCAUGCCCCACAUGGAGAAAGGCCAUGUGGAAGUCAUGACGUGAAGAGGUGAUGGAGGCACAUGGAUUUUGUCUCCGUAAAUCUGGCAUUUAUGACACUUCUUAGCAUAUUUGAUGCAGUCUCCUUCCAUGGUAGACCAAUAAUAUCCAAAUCUCAUGAUUUGUCUGGCCAUUGUGAAACCGUUAGCGUGUGUUCCACAAAUACCAUCAUGGACUUCUUCCAAGAUCUGUUUGGCCUCCACAGCGUCCACACAUCUUAACAGCACCUGAUCUUUUCCUCUUUUAUACAGGAUCUCUCCAUCUAAGACGUAAUCACUGGCCAGCCUCCUCAACAUUCUCUUGUCAUUCUCAGUUGCUUGGUUUGGGUAUUCACGAUUUUUUACGUAUCGCAAUAUAUCCUGAUACCAAGGGUUGUCGUCCUUUUCUUCUUCUUCGUCAAUGUUACAACAGUGGGCUGGAGCAUCAUAAAUGCUCAUUUGGAUAGGCUUCACAUCCUCUGGUCUAUUUACUUUGAUUAUGGAAGCCAAUGUAGCUAAAGCGUCGGCCAUCUGAUUCUCGUCUCGUGGGAGAUAACAAAAAGUGAUGUCGUCAAACUCCUCAAUCAAUUCUAGGACUAUCCUUCGGUAACUAAUCAACUUAGGGUCUCUUGUUUCCCAUUCGCCUUUGAGUUGAUAAAUUACCAAUGCCGAAUCCCCAUAUACCUCAAGUACCUUGAUUUUGCGUUCCAUAGCCGCGCGGAUUCCCAUGAUACAUGCUUCAUAUUCCGCCAUGUUAUUUGUGCAAUCAAAAUCUAGUUUACUGGUGAAAGGAUAAUGAUCACCGUUUGGAGAUACCAAGACUGCCCCAAUCCCGUUGCCCAUGGCAUUUGAGGCUCCGUCAAAAUUUAAUUUCCAAGUAUUGCCUUCUUGUGUGCUUGCUUCAAUAGUUGCCACAUACAUCAGAUCCUCAUUUGGGAAAUCAAAGUUCAAAGGCUCAUAAUCGUCCAGGGCUCUACUUGCUAGAAAAUCUGCUAUCGCGCUCCCUUUUACAGCCUUUUGAUUCACAUAGGUUAUGUCAAAUUCAGAUAGUAGAAUUUGCCAUCGGGCCAUCUUUCCGUUUAGAGCAGUUGACUCCAUCAUGUAUUUCAGAGGAUCUAACUUUGAGAUUAACCAAGUCGUAUGGUACAACAUGUAUUGUCUCAAUCUCCGAGUAGUCCAAACCAAUGCGCAACAUAAUUUUUCAAUUGGCGAAUAUCUAGCUUCGCAUUCAGUGAACUUCUUACUAAGAUAAUAGAUCGCUCUUUCUUUUCGUCCUGACUCAUCAUGUUGGCCGAGCACGCACCCCAUGGAAUUCUCAAAUACUGCCAAGUAUAGUAUCAGUGGUUUGUCAGGGCAAGGUGGCAUCAGUACUGGGGCGUUGGACAAGUAAUGUUUAACUCUUUCGAAAGUUUUCUGGCACUCCUCAUCCCAUACACCUGGAUUGUGUUUCCUAAGAAGACGGAAUAUGGGGUCACAUUUCUCAGUUAAUUGUGAAAUGAAUCGAGCGAUGUAAUUUAGUCUUCCUAGGAAACCCCGAACUUCUUUUUGAGUACUUGGCGGAGGUAAUUCUUGUAUGGCCUUAACUUUGUCUGGGUCAAUUUCAAUUCCCUUUUCGCUGACUAAGAAUCCUAGCAAUUUUCCUGAUCUAGCCCCGAAAGUACACUUGGCUGGGUUAAGUUUUAGCUGGAACUUCCUUAACCUCAGAAACAGUUUUCUCAGAACUUGCACGUGUUCCCUUUCUGUUCUGGAUUUUGCGAUCAUGUCAUCAACAUAAACUUCUAUCUCUUUAUGCAUCAUAUCAUGGAAUAAUGCUACCAUGGCUCUCUGAUACGUUGCUCCCGCAUUUUUCAAUCCAAAAGGCAUCACUUUAUAACAAAACGUCCCCCACAUCGUUAUGAAUGUGGUCUUCUCCCUGUCUUCAGAAAGCAUCUUAAUUUGGUUGUACCCGGAGAAACCAUCCAUGAAAGAGAACAGUGAGUAUCCGGCCAUGUUGUCUACCAAGGUAUCGAUAUGAGGCAGUGGGAAAUUAUCUUUUGGGCUGGCUUUGUUCAAGUCUCUGUAGUCCACACACAUUCGCACCUUCCCAUCUUUCUUAGGAACAGGGACUAUAUUGGCUACCCAUUCUGAGUACUUGACCACCUGUAAGAAACCAGCAUCAAAUUGCUUCUUAACUUCUUCCUUUAUUUUUAGCAAGACGUCAGGCCUCAUCCUUCGGAGCUUUUGUUGGACUGGUUUGCAUUCUUCCUUUAUAGGCAAUCGGUGUACCACGAUAUCAGUACUUAACCCUGGCAUAUCUUGGUAGGACCACGCGAAGACAUCUUUAAACUCUCGAAGCAACUCAACAAGGUCUUGCCUUGUUUCCUUGGCAAUGCAAGCGCCAAUUUUUACCUCUCUGCCCUCUUCUAAGAUCACAACUUCUACUGAUUCCUUAUAGGGUAGAAUUUGUUUUUCUUUUUCUUCCAUCAUUCUUAACAAAUCCGGAGAUAAAACGCUGUCUUGGCCACCUUCAAAAUCUUGAGGAUCAUCUAUACUUAUGUCUUGCUCAAAUAGAGACUCUGAAUUAGUAACAGAGUCGCUCAUCUCGUUGAUAUCUGAAGACCUGUUAUUGGAACAAAUGGAGGCCCAAAUAAAAGAAUCUAAGAAUACUUGUAUGCAUAGUAUGAUUAUAAAGGGAAUGAAAAGAAUGAAAGAAUAUUUGCUCAAGAUGAAACUGAAUGAUAAGUUUUCACUGAAAUUAGAUUUUGGACAUGUGCCUUUUACAAAAGAUUCUUAUCACCCCCAGGCUUAGGGCAACAAGUGUUCUGAAUAUUACUCUGAAUUAGUUCUAAAUGUUACAGGGAUCUCUUCUGCAGUCCAGUUAUUCAGAACACUUCCAGGUUCGUAAGGACGAAUGCCCGAUAAAUUCCUUUCCACCCUUUCUUCCGCGGAUAUGGCAUUGAUGUCCAACAUCUCAAUCCUUCCUUCUGUAACCUCAUCAUUCUCUUCAGGGUGGACAAUUCCCCCUGAAACAAAAGUCUUAGAUAUAUGGGGAAAGGUCAUCGGUCCCCACUUGACUUCUAUCCCGCCCAAAUGUGCUCUUCUCUUUUCUUGCUUUUUCUCCAUCUCUUUCCUCCUUUCCCUCGCAUUAGGCUUAUAUCCCAAACCAUAACGAUCCUGCUUGUUAACUAGGAUCGGUACUCCAACCCUCCCCUGGAGGUAUUUUCCCAAUCCUCUUCCAGGCAAUGCUCCCUUUCCCAUCGUUAGCUGUAAGCUCAUUGACGUAGCUUUGGAUAUCUUAGGUUCUGGGAUUUUGCUCAUCUCGAUGACAAAUGUGGCAUUUACGAAUUCCAAUGAUCGGAAUGAACAUUCUAUCGCUUCACUAUCAGCCUCUAUGUAUGGCAUAUCAUCGGUGACUGAUGCAAUGAUGUCUUCUUCUGCACCUAUAGUCACCAAUCGACCCUCUAUCACCAAUUUUAACUUUUGGUGAAGUGACGAUGGUACAGCUCCUGCAGAAUGGAUCCAAGGCCUCCCCAAUAGGCAAUUGUAAGAUGGUUUAAUAUCCAUUACCAAAAAGUCCACCUCGUAUGUAUUUGGACCAAUCAAUAGAGGUAUCUCGAUUCUCCCCAUCACUUUUCUCUCAGUGCCAUCAAAUGCUCUCACUAUAUUUUGGCAUGAUUUCAUGUGAGAACUAUCCACGGGUAGCCUGUUUAAUGUGGACAGGGGUAAAAUAUUCAGGGCCGAUCCAUUGUCCACGAGUACCGCCGGUAGUAUACACCCCUUGCAACGGGCAGUGAUGUGCAAGGCCUUGGUAGAUCCCAUACCACCUGGCGGGAUCUCAUCAUCGUUGAAGAAGAUGAAGUUAUCGGCAUUUAUAUUGUUAACCAGGCGAUCCAAUUUGUUCACUGAGAUAUCUUUAGCGACAUAAGUCUCAUUUAGCACUUUUACCAACGCAUUACGAUGUAUCUCUGAACUUAGAAGUAACUCGAGCACUGAGAUGCGAGCGGGUUGCUUAUGCAAUUGUUCCACCACGCUAUACUCGCUAUGCCUCAAGAAUUUUAGGAAUUCUCUAGCCUCAUUUUCAGUCACCGGUGUGUUAAUAUGCGGUUCAAUUCCGAUCGUCUUCGUUUUAUCUUGUUCAACCGCCAAGGCUUUUCCUUUUAUAGGCUCCCUUUUUGUAUUUCCCAGGUCGUAACAUUUUCCACUACGCGUAUAGAAGCCUGCGCCAUUACCCCAUUCUGAAGCAUUUAUCGGGUUCUCCUCUCCCGUAAUCAUCACAUUGCAAUCGUAAUUCCAAGGAACCUUUUUGCUAUCCUUGUAAGGAAAGGCUACAGGUUUUUGGAUUAUGACCCUUGGCGCCAGUUGUAUUCCAGAUCCUGUACUCGUUGGCCUUGAAAUAAUCACCACUGGGUGAUUUGAGGCCUUUCCCGUAGGCCCCUCCUCCGAGGCAUAAACUUCUCCAUUUUCAAGUCCUUUGAUCUCUUCAUAAAAUUCUAGCUCUUUGUUGUUCAUCAGAUUUUGCACCAUGGCCUUGAAUUCAGUGCAGUUUUGAAUGUCAUGGUCUUCUUCAACAUGAAACUCGCAGUACGUCUUCGUUCCUUCGGGCCUUUCUUUUGAAUCUUGUUUGAUGAGACCUCCUUCUAUCAUUUGUCUCCAGACCCAACUCAAUGGGGUUUUUAUCUCUGCAAUGUCAGUUUUGAUUCUCUUUUUCUCACCUUCGAUUAUUGUGUUUACCCCUUUAUCAGCAUGGUUGGGUAACGGAUUCGCUGCUACGUUGGGUCCUAAUGGGUUGUCAAACUUCACAAUCCCCAUCUUAAUGAACCUUUCCACCGCCUUUUUAAACCCAGUGCAGUUCUCAAUUGAGUGUCCUGGUAUCCCUGCAUGGUAUUCACAUUGGGCAUUCGUGUCAUACCAUUUGGGAUAUGGAGGUUGCAUGGGCUCGAGAUAAAAUGGAGAUACUAUGUGUGCAUCAAAUAACUUCUGAUACAGUUCUCCGUAUGUUAUUAGAAUGGGUGUGAAUUGAAGUCUCUCUGUGUUAGUCCUUGUGUUGGGCCUUGUGUUGGGUUCCUGCCUCGAGGGGGCUUGGUGACUAGUGGUUAUCAUUUUUGGAGGGCCAACAGUAAUCGGUUUUGAAUGACUCUUGCUAUAUGUGCUUACGUUGUUUACUUCGCCCUCUUUUUUCCUUGGGGCUGGUCUUUUGAAGUUUUCCCCCGUGUCAAUCUUACCGCUCCUUACCGCGUUCUCAAUCAUUUCACCGGACAUUACCAUAUCCGAGAAGCUCUUGGUAGCACUCCCCAACAUGUGGUUGAUGAACGAGGCUUUCAGAGUGUUGAUAAACAACAUGGUGACCUCUUUUUUCCAAAAGGGGUGGCUGGACUUGUGUUGCCACUUCUCUCCAUCGUUGGGCGUACUGCCUGAAAUUCUCGCUAGGCUUUUUCUCCAUGUUUUGUAACGUAAUUCGAUCGGGUGUUAUAUCCGUUACAUGACUGUACUGCUUCAUAAAAGCUUGCGCCAAGUCUCUCCAUGAACUAACUUUAGCACGACUCAGUUGGUUGUACCAUUUGGCUGCAGAUCCGAUCAAACUGUCCUGGAAGCAGUGGAUUAACAGCUGAUCGUUGUUGACGUAUCCUGUCAUUCUUCGACAGAACAUAGUUAUAUGAGCUUCAGGACAACUAGUUCCAUUAUAUUUUUCGAAUUCCGACAUUUUGAACUUAGGUGGGAGUACUAAAUCAGGGACCAAACUCAGAUCCUUGGCGUCAACCCCGCGAUGAUAGUCAAUGUUCUCCAUGACUCUAAAUUUUUCCUCUAACCAUCUACAUCGGUCCUCUAGUUGUUUUGGCAGGUUCGUUCUUGUUUUUUCUGUUUCUGCCACGUCAUCGAGGUUCGGGACCACAGGAUUAGUGGGAUUAUCCCCGGGAUUAGAACCCGAGCCCAUUUGAAAAUACAAUGGUACCGAGGCACCAGCCAGAUAUUGAGGUCUAAUGGUAACCGGUACCCUCUGUGGGUACACCUCUGGUUGUGCUUGGAUGUUAGUUGGGGUGAAACCUGGAGGAUAAACAGGGUCAUCGUGAUCUUCCCCAGCAUCAACUACGGGGUCUUUUCCUUUGUUAUUUCCUCCAGCCAAUAACUGCUUUAAUCGGUUCAUCACAGUGUUCUGGGAUUCUAACAUGUCCUGCUGGAUUUUUUCCAGUCGUUCAUGCAUCUGAUCUUGCAUCUCUCGUUGCAACUGUUCCAAUCUUUCCAACCUUUGAUCCAUUGCUUUUGUUUGGCGACGAGUACCGUAGUGAUAUUUGAUUAGAUUUUGGUUGGUUUCCAGGGUAACUGUCAUAAUUUAAUUUUAUUAGGGUCAUUUUAUGAGAUGUAAUGCAAAUGUAUGAGAUGAAUGCAAAAAAGAGGCAUUGAUUCGAAUUCAAUUUCAUUAGAAAACUCAACUAGAAAGCAAAUUUCUUUACAUAAAAUAAAUUACAUAUACGGCUUCGCCUUUAUACCCAAAACCUUAACCUUCCUAAGAAGCCAAGCUAAAUUUCGACCUCGGCUUGAUUCUGACUCAUAUUUUAAACUCAAUACAUCGGCCUGAACUGCUAAUGUUUGCAGAUGAUCAGCCACUUCCCGCACUUGAGUCACAGCUUCGCCCAUAACGUAAUCUCUAUCUCUAAUCUGCCUUUGAGAAUGAUGGAAUUGCUCUUGCCAUUGAUCAUUACUCCUCUCAAGAAGCUCCAUUCGUAGCUCAGAAUUGUGUAAUGCGUCCUCAAGCUCCUCUACCUUUCCUUUCAGUUCUUCGAUCUUAUUUAAGCUUGCUCUUAAUUCGAUCAUGGAGUUGCGACUACGGUACGAGUGAAGUGACUUUUCUAGCUCUGCCACCUUGGCCUUUAAUCCUGCCUUCUCAUUUCGGCACUCUAACAAACUCCUUUCCAAAGCGUUUUCUCGAGCUCGAGCAUCUUGAAAUUUAUUUUCCCACUGAUUGGCCCUAUUCUUUUCCUCAUUGAUCUCUUGUCGCCACUGCUCUGAUGUUUUACCCAGACCGACAGUUCUCAUCGACAAUCGCAGCUUCUUGUAAUCUGUUUUUAGACUAUCCAAAUCCUCUUCAGCUUUGUUCUUUCCCUUCCUUAAUUUCUCAGCUUCUAGCUUGUGGAUAUCGAUGUCUAAUCCCAAAUGCACUCUUUCUUCUUCUAACUGUUCUAUCCUCUUUCCCAACUCAGAAUUUCUUUUCUCAAAGUCUCGUUUGAUGAUCUCUAAUUCUGACGGAACUACUUGUAGAUGCUCUUCUAUAGACUGAACGCAAUCUUCCCUCGGCUUAGGGAUGUUGUCAUUGACUCUUUUACUCCACCACCCAUAAUAUUCUGAAGUUGCCAUCGCUCCUACGGUAAAUCUUUUCAUUCGGUGAACCUGUUUCCAAGCGUUAGAUAUUUCUCGAGUUUUUCUCUUGUAGUUUUCAUCCUUAUAAGAAAACUCACAUUGAGCCAACCCUUGUGUUGCUGGUAUGAACUGUCUCGAUCUAUAUUGUCUUAAUACGAGUAAAGGGGCAUAACCGAUAGCUCCCCAAAUUCCGAGUAAAGGGACCCAGUCGAAAUCACCACAUCGAUACAGGAUCUCGUCGGGUACCAUCCAAGGAGCUUUCCAUUCAACGUCAUCCUCCUGAAAAUUUUGGAGAAUCGCCAUCCACUUCUCUUCCGUGAUGUCGUCUCGUCUUGGUGUAGCAACUUGUUCCUUCAAUGGAGAAUAGUCUUCUGAGAAGACUCGAUAGGAGACAUUUUCCACCUUCCAAAAGUGACUAUGGAACCACACCAAUAGUAGCUGCGCGCAUCCGAUGAACCUUCCCCCCCUGCUCUUCGACAUGCACUUAGAGAUCUGAAGGUUUCUGCUAAGAUUGCCGGGAUGGGCGUGACUCCUUUACUAAGCCGAUCGAACAAAUCAGAGACGGCCUCAUCUACGUGCCCUAAAGCUCUAGGGAAAAUUACCAAUCCAUAGAUACCUAGAGCGAAGACAUCCACUCUUUUCUUCACAUCAGGGUGUGCUAAUACUAAAUCUCGCAAGCUUUUCCAAGGAACGCAUUUACUGUCUCCUUUCUGUUGGAUUCGGGCAGUGACCCACUGUUCGCUCAUCCCUGUAAUGCUCAUCAAUUUUUUUAAUAAUGUCGGGACACUAGCAGCUCUAGAAUAGGCUUUGUCAAUUUGAAUCUUUGGACACCGAAGCAGGGUCGUAUAUUCUUCCAUGGUGGGAACCAAGUCCACUUUUCCAAAAGUGAAACAACUGUAAGCAGGAUUCCAAAACUGGGCUAGGGCUCGGAAUAAAUGCUUGUCCACUUUGAUACCAAGUAGGUAAGGCAAGUCCCCGUAGUCACAGUAAAACAUCUGCUUGGUCCCGUCGUCCCAUUGAUCCCAUAUUUCCUUCAUUUCUCGAAGAUCAUUUUGGAUUACGCUGAUACGGGUGAAGUCCCAUAACUCUGAUACGUACCCUUCUGCAAGACUAUCGCCUUUCUCUCUCCACAUCGUCUCAGCCCAUAAUCGUACGGCUGCAUUGUCUUCUACUUUAUCAAGAAACCUCUUUUCCAUUAUAAGCUUUCUAUCUAUACUGAACGUGAAUCGACACCUCUUUUGAAAUGAAAAUGCCAUGCAAUCACAAACAAAGCAAAUUAGAUCUAGGAUUUAAAGUAAACAAUAAUAAAUAAAGCAUCUAUUCGGUAAGCACUAGGGUCUGGAAUAGCUCUAUCUCGGUGGGUUCUUAUGGCUCGCUAUGUGUGGUUUGGUUCUAAAGUAAGGGUACCUGAACCAGCAGAUUCCUCGAUCCUCACCCAUUAUAGGCUCAUAUGGACCGAGUUCAGUUCAGGGGAAUACAUUUCCCUAUGGCCAUGCGGAGAUGAAAAUCUCACGAAGACAUAGGUACGGAUGUAUCCCGGAAGCGAUUCACUAUCCCAUGCGGAGGUGAAAACCUCACGAAGGCGUAGUUUCUCACUCCCACUUAAAAGGUGUGACCAGCGGUCAUGCAAUGCAAUGUGCAGAGGUAUAAAAUAAAAUACAGAACACGAUAAAAAAAUAUAACUCAAAACAAAAGAGAUGCAAUGAGAGGAUCGUAAAUUUAAAUCGAAUUUUCCAUUUUCAGCAAAAAGACAAUAAAUAAUCAACACGUGGCUUGACUCUCUUAUUGUCCCCAGUGGAGUCGCCAAGCUGUUGACACCAUUUUUUGGAUGAAAACGGGGUCGACUUGGAUUUUGAAAAAAAGAAUAAAAACGGGAGUCGCCACCAAUCUUUUUUGAUGAGGUGUGAUCGGGUCACCUUUAAAAGCAGCUGUUUUUAAUAAACAAUUUAAUUUUAUUAAAACAAUGAGUUUGGUCUACGAAAUUUAGAAAAAUGAGUUCGGGAGUCGGUUACGCACGAGGAAGGAUUAGCACCCUCGAUACGCCCAAAAUUGGUACCUAGUUGAUUACUUAAUGUCUUGAUGUCGAAAAUAAAAACUCGAAAAGAAUUUUAAAAUACGAUCCUUAAAAGAAACUCUGAUAACGUGAAUUGAAAUAUAAGAUUCUCUUGUUCUUAAGGAAUAUCACAUCCAGCACGUUAGGACCCGAUACUCUAAACCAUCGAACCAAGAUUACCUUAUAGUUUAAUGAAACCAUACUUUGAAGCUUUAAGAGGAUAUUUGGCUAUUUAGUCAAACGAGAAAUCGAAACCCAGCACGUUAGGGCACGUUUUCUCGAGUUUCCAAACGCGAAAUAUUGCCUUAUUUAGAAACUUUUGCUUUGGAAUAAUAGCGAAUCCGAUAUUUAAACAACGUUGAUUAUUUGUUUGGAUUUAAAAAAACAAUUUAUUGGAUAAAUGCACCGAGGCUUGAUUCGUGAGGCGAUGAUAUGAAAAAAGAUAACAAUGAGCAUGAAACAAAUAUACAUGGAUUUAUCAAGUAAACAAAUUAAAAUAAACAUCACGACAAUACAUCAUUUAAAUAAUAACAUCGACAAAUAACCAAUGAAUUUAAUCAUAUAUAACAAUCUUUAAAAAUAAGGAAGAUAUAAAGUAAAUUAAAACAAAUAAAAAUGUAAACAAACUUUAGAAUGAUAAUAAAUGAAUUUAAAAUAAAUAAUGUAGAAAAGAAUUUUAAAAUCCGUAAUACACGAGGCAAAUUAAAAAGAUGAUAUAUAUGAAUAAUUUCUGUCCUUCAAAAAAAUAUAUAUAUAUAUGCAAAAGUGUAAAAAAAAACGUAUGCAAACAAACCUAAAAUAAAUAAUAAUAGAAUCAUUUAAAUAAAUAAAAAGGAUUUAAAAUGGAUGAUAAAUAACAGGACUUAAGGUAGUUACGGUAAAAAUAAUUUCAAAUGAAUGAUGUAUAAAAGAAAAAAGAAUAUAUAUAUACAUAUAUACAUAUUUAUAUAUAAAUAAAUGGCUUAAAAUAGGUAUUACAAAAAAAUAAAAGAAAAUUUAAAAUGAAUAACCUACAGAAUAGCUUGAAUUAAAAGUUAUAUAUGAAUAUAAAAUAUGUAAUAGUUUAAUAUAAAUAAUUUAUAUAAAAACAUAUAAAGUAAACAACGUAUAGAAAGUUAACAAACAACACAUGAAAGCAUUAAAAUAGAAAUGAGACAAGUUCCUUAAAAAAGGGCUAAGUUUAAGGUAAAACGAAUUUGUAAAGCAAUCUUAAAUGCAUAAUACAUAAGUCAGCUUAAAGAAUUAAUAAAAAUCUAAAAUAAAUAACAUGUGAAACUGUUUAAGAUAAAUGAAUAAAUAAAAGUAUAUGUAUAUGAAAAAUCAAUAAAAUAUAAAAAGAUUAAGUAUCGAAUUAGAAAAGAUUAAAAUCAAGGGUCCUAUCUAAAAAAAAUAAAAAGGGACGCAGGGCCUAAAAUAAGGCACACGUGAAAGAACAGGGGUUAAACAUGCAAUUAUUCCCCAACUCUGAAGAUGUAUGUCGAAUUUCGAAGCACCAGAGAACCGAGGGCUUAAUCAAAAAAACAAAAGAAAAUUAAACAGUUAAAUCUAUGAAAAGAUAAAAUAAUAAAAGGGGCCCGAGGUAAACAAGCCCAAAAUUGAAGGGACCAUGGGAGCGAAUAGCCCAUAGGAUCAAAACACACAGGUUCCCCCUAGACUGCGCCGUUUUGGGGCGUGGGGGUGUGUGUGUGAGGGUACAAAACGGCAGUGUUUUGCAUGGCCAUUAAAGCCCCAAAUUUUUUUCAUUUUUAACUUCAUUUUCUUUCAAAAAAAAAGACAGAGAGUCUUCCUACUCUCUCUCUCCCUUUUCUAUUUUUCCUCCCUUGCAGAUAGGGUUUCGAGACCCAUCCUCGCUGCCAUCGUCUGACCGCCGCACCACCACCAUACUCGGUGGCCGGCAAUGCACAAGAAUAGGCCAUUCGGCCUUGUUCCAAAAGAGUUUGAAGGCCUAGCCUUCUUGAGUCGAAAAGAACCGAAAGAAAGGGCCCUCACCCCUCUUUUAGCCCCGACGAUGGAGGAGAGACCUCCCGCGAAGCAACCACAGGCGGUUCCGGUAAGGUUCUUCUCUUCCUUUUCUUUUUAUUUUAUGGCUACUCUUAUUUAAUAGAUUCGUGUUAAAAUAAAAAGGAAAUAUUAGAGAGAUGAAAAACGAAAUGGAAAUAAAGAAAGUAGAAUAAGAGAUCAACCUUUUGUGUUUUUUUCUUUUUAUUUCCAAUGUUCGUUUGAUACGAUUUUUAUAUAUUCAAAGGUUCCCCCUUCCGUUCAGUCCUUCAUUUCGGGUUUUAUAACCCCUUUUUACAUCCUUUUUCUAUUAUUCUAUCCUGUUUUUUUUGUCUUGAUCUUGCAGGGCAUGGAGGUGCUGGUAGUGGAGGAGGAGCAUGCAGCGGCAGAUGGUGUCAGACGCGUGGACACGCGAAGCCAGCGAUUGGCGAGUAGCGGCGGUGGGCGUGCGCAGGAGGUGGCAGCAACAACAUGCGGCUGAGGUUUCUUUUUGUGUUUGAAAGUUGGUGUAGUUUUGGGCCAUUCGGGCCUCUAGGGUUUUUAUUAAUAUUGGGCAUUUGGGCUUGUAGUUUUUGGGUUUAAAUUGGCUGAAAAUGGGUUGCUUUUGUUUUUAUUAUUUGGGUCUAUUUUGCUGGUAUGGGCCCGGGUAUUUUAUUUUCUGAUUUAGGCCAUAUUGGCCUGCUUUAAUGGACUGUGGCAUUUUAUUUAUUUUGUUUUAUUUUUGGCACUUGGCCCGGCAAAUUUGGGCUUCUACAG